AAUGAGUUGUUUUGUCGCUUUUAUUUAUAGACUUUAUGGGACUUUUUGUGUACACUUAAAAAGCUCUAUAAUCUCUACGGUGGUUUUAUCCACUACAGAAAUUAUAGAU
rnacentral:ncRNA from 1 species